rnacentral:tRNA from 1 species
GGAGAGGUGCCGGAGUGGUUGAACGGGGCGGUCUCGAAAACCGUUGUACGGCUGUUGUCGUACCGUGGGUUCGAAUCCCACCCUCUCCGCCA